rnacentral:rRNA from 1 species
GAUGAACGCUGACAGAAUGCUUAACACAUGCAAGUCCACUUGAACUUCGGUUUGGGUGGCGGACGGGUGAGUCACGCGUAAAGAACUUGCCUCACAGCUAGGGACAACAUUUGGAAACGAAUGCUAAUACCUGAUAUUAUGAUUAUAUGGCAUCGUAUAAUUAUGAAAGCUAUAUGCGCUGUGAGAGAGCUUUGCGUCCCAUUAGCUAGUUGGAGAGGUAACAGCUCACCAAGGCGAUGAUGGGUAGCCGGCCUGAGAGGGUGAUCGGCCACAAGGGGACUGAGACACGGCCCUUACUCCUACGGGAGGCAGCAGUGGGGAAUAUUGGACAAUGGACCGAGAGUCUGAUCCAGCAAUUCUGUGUGCACGAUGAAGUUUUUCGGAAUGUAAAGUGCUUUCAGUUGGGAAGAAAAAAAUGACGGUACCAACAGAAGAAGUGACGGCUAAAUACGUG